GAUGAACGCUGGCGGCGUGCCUAAUACAUGCAAGUCGAGCGAACAGACGAGGAGCUUGCUCCUCUGACGUUAGCGGCGGACGGGUGAGUAACACGUGGAUAACCUACCUAUAAGACUGGGAUAACUUCGGGAAACCGGAGCUAAUACCGGAUAAUAUAUUGAACCGCAUGGUUCAAUAGUGAAAGACGGUUUUGCUGUCACUUAUAGAUGGAUCCGCGCCGCAUUAGCUAGUUGGUAAGGUAACGGCUUACCAAGGCAACGAUGCGUAGCCGACCUGAGAGGGUGAUCGGCCACACUGGAACUGAGACACGGUCCAGACUCCUACGGGAGGCAGCAGUAGGGAAUCUUCCGCAAAGGGCGAAAGCUUGACGGAGCAACGCCACGUGAGUGAUGAAGGUCUUCGGAUCGUAAAACUCUGUUAUUAGGGAAGAACAAAUGUGUAAGUAACUAUGCACGUCUUGACGGUACCUAAUCAGAAAGCCACGGCUAACUACGUG
rnacentral:rRNA from 1 species